rnacentral:rRNA from 1 species
GACGAACGCUGGCGGCGUGCUUAACACAUGCAAGUCGAACGGAAAGGCCCUGCUUUUGUGGGGUGCUCGAGUGGCGAACGGGUGAGUAACACGUGAGUAACCUGCCCUUGACUUUGGUAUAACUUCAGGUAACUGGGGCUAAUACCGGAUAGGAGCUCCUGCUGCAUGGUGGGGGUUGGAAAGUUUCGGCGGUUGGGGAUGGACUCGCGGCUUAUCAGCUUGUUGGUGGGGUAGUGGCUUACCAAGGCUUUGACGGGUAGCCGGCCUGAGAGGGUGACCGGCCACAUUGGGACUGAGAUACGGCCCAGACUCCUACGGGAGGCAGCAGUGGGGAAUAUUGCACAAUGGGCGGAAGCCUGAUGCAGCAACGCCGCGUGCGGGAUGACGGCCUUCGGGUUGUAAACCGCUUUCGCCUGUGACGAAGCGUGAGUGACGGUAAUGGGUAAAGAAGCACCGGCUAACUACGUG